rnacentral:rRNA from 1 species
CGCUAGGACUCCUACGGGAGGCAGCAGUGGGGAAUAUUGCACAAUGGGGGAAACCCUGAUGCAGCCAUGCCGCGUGUGUGAAGAAGGCCUUCGGGUUGUAAAGCACUUUCAGUAGGGAGGAAGGUAGUGUAGUUAACACCUGCACUAUUUGACGUUACCUACAGAAGAAGCACCGGCUAACUCCGUGCCAGCAGCCGCGGUAAUACGGAGGGUGCGAGCGUUAAUCGGAAUUACUGGGCGUAAAGCGCAUGCAGGCGGCCUGUUAAGUCAGAUGUGAAAGCCCGGGGCUUAACCUCGGAAUUGCAUUUGAAACUGGCAGGCUAGAGUCUUGUAGAGGGGGUAGAAUUUCAGGUGUAGCGGUGAAAAUGCGUAGAGAUCUGAAGGAAUACCAGUGGCGAAGGCGGCCCCCCUGGACAAAGACUGACGCUCAGAUGCGAAAGCGUGGGGAGCAAACAGGAUUAGAUACCCUGGUAG